ensembl:lncRNA
GAAAAGACUUCAGAAGAAUAAAACAUGAAGUUACCGGGAAUAAUUGCCUAAUAACUGUGCACACAGUGUAGUGUGCAUUUUGACCAAAUUUGGAGUAAGAUGUUGCGAUUAACCUGCUAUCCGCUAAGCUACAUUAUUUUUCCUUCUUCCUCCUGCCAAGCAAACAAAGUAAUGUUCAAUAUAAAUAAGGGUGAUAUUAAAAGGCUAUAUUUUCCUUACCCCAACACAGCUUGCACAGCUGGAGUCGUCCUCAAUGUGGUCGUCGCAUCUCAGCUGGAGUCGUCCUCAGUGUGGUCGUCGCAUCUCAGGUGCUUCUUCAUGGCUCUGAUCGCGUCGUCAUUGCGCAGGCAAUUCAGCAGACCUUGGUCUUCAUGAAAGAGACAAUCUACAGCAAACACUCUGUCUGUGUUUACACAGAGUCUGCUGUCUGGAACAAUUUCAUCUAGAUUAAACGUGUGGUGGAGCGCCACAAAAACGACAGGCUUACCCU